rnacentral:rRNA from 1 species
AUACGGAGGGUGCAAACGUUGUUCGGAAUUACUGGGCGUAAAGCGCGCGUAGGCGGUUUGUUAAGUCAGAUGUGAAAGUCCACAGCUCAACUGUGGAAGUGCAUUUGAAACUGGCAGACUUGAGUACUGGAGGGGGUGGUGGAAUUCCCGGUGUAGAGGUGAAAUUCGUAGAUAUCGGGAGGAAUACCGGUGGCGAAGGCGACCACCUGGCCAGAUACUGACGCUGAGGUGCGAAAGCGUGGGGAGCAAACAGGAGUAGAAACCCUUGUAGUCC